rnacentral:rRNA from 1 species
CCAAUAGCGUAUAUUAAAGUUGUUGCAGUUAAAAAGCUCGUAGUUGAAUUUCGAGACCGGUUUACUGGUCGUGCUUUUGUACGUACUGGUAUUAUUGGUUUCUCCUUUCUGACGAAUCAUAAUGCCAUUAAUUUGGUGUUUUGGGGAAUCAGGACUGUUACUUUGAAAAAAUUAGAGUGUUUAAAGCAGGCUCACGCUUGAAUACAUUAGCAUGGAAUAACGAAAUAGGACGUUUGAUUUUAUUUUGUUGGUUUCUAGGAUCGACGUAAUGAUUAAUAGGGAUAGUUGGGGGCAUUAGUAUUCAAUUGUCAGAGGUGAAAUUCUUGGAUUUAUUGAAGACUAACUACUGCGAAAGCAUUUGCCAAGGAUGUUUUCAUUAAUCAAGAACGAAAGUUAGGGGAUCGAAGACGAUCAGAUACCGUCGUAGUCUUAACCAUAAACUAUGCCGACUAGGGAUCGAAUGAUGUUAAUUUUUUAAUGACUCAUUCGGCGCCUUACG